UGGCUUUGUGUAUGAAUAAGGACUUGUAUGAAUGGCCACACGAGUGUUUAACUGUCUCUUACUUUUAAUCAGUGAAAUUGACCUAUCCGUGAAGAGGUGGAUAUACCUAAAUAAGAUGAGAAGACCCUAUGGAUCUUCAAUUAAAUAAUACAAACUUACACCUUAAAAACCUACAGGCACUAAUCUAAUGUUAAUGUAUUAUAAAUUUUGGUUGAGGUGGCCUUAGAGUACAGCAUAACCCCCGAAAGACACAUACCAAGACCUCAUUAGUCUAAGUAAAUCUAUACCUAUUGACCCAAUUACUUGAUGCACGGACUAAGUUACCCUAGGGAUAACAGCGCAAUCCUAUUUUAGAGUCCAUAUUGACAAUAGGGUUUACGACCUCGAUGUUGGAUCAAGACAUCCUAAUGGUGCAG